UUGACUGUCUCCAUGGUGAUAGAUUGUGUAUAAAUACUCUCCUGAAGGGAGAAGCUGAUUCUUCAGGAGCAAAACUGACCUCAUAAAAGCAAAUCAAACCAGCAAUAACCACCACAAAUGCAGGAGCCAGAAGGGCUUGGUGUUCGUGCUGUGACCCCGUGAGAGGCAUCAUCUUUAAGGCACUCUUUACAAGGCAAUUUGCAAGACAGCCAGCUACAGUGUUGGGGCAGAGAUGUUCUUGCUGGGGAACAGAGCAAACCAUGGCAACCAUGGGAAUGAGGAGCCAAUCUUUUGAUUCAGACAUCCAUUGUUUUCUUAGACAAGAUGCAAAGAUGUUGGAGGCAAGAGACCGAUUAUAUUGCAACCUUCCCUUGACUCCUCAGCUGAUUCUCAUAGAGGUUCAUUUGAACUAAGGAACUUAAAAUACAGGCAUGCCAUGCCAACUUGGUCGCA